GAUUGGCGCUUUUCUGAUCGCUGUUCUUGCCCUGUUUAAGGGAGAGGAGUCACCCUACAAUAGUUCUCCUUGCAAGGAGACUAAAAACACCGAAGCAUACAACAAUUUUGUUCACAGACACGUUCUGAAGAAGGGAUUUAACACCAGCUCAACUGAUGACUGGGAAGAUUACCUGACAGAACAAAAUCUCUGUGGAAGACCUCGGCAGUCGUUCAUUGACGUAGGAGCUGAAAUUCUUUAUGAGGAGAUCUGCAACGGCUUUGGGGUGCGUCAAGGGGGAGGCAACCUGUGCACAAGUACCUGCAAAGUUCGGCUGCAUGACCUCAACGUCACUAAAACUAAGUCUACUACGAGUGGUAAGAAUUGCACAGUUUAUGGUCUUAGGAGUGAAUAUAGAUAUGUGACUGUCGCUUGUGACAAAGUCGGGAGCCAAUGCCUUCCUGUUCACUUUAAUAGCAGCCAAAUCAAUAUGCCAGAGAAUAAAAAUGGAACCUGUGAGCCAUAAACUAAUCUCUGGUUUGACAUCUGAAUUGUCUUCCUAGUUUGGAAAAUAUGCUAUUUUGCUUUGCUACAUCUCUCCAUAUCCAGCUUUAGUUCAGCCUUUUUCUGCUUUUAGUUAAGUUUAGGUGAGUUUAUUUUAUAAACACAUCAGAAAUAGCACAUGAUCGGUGAAAGACAAAGUACAAUUUACAGUUUUUAACAUAUCAGCGUUGAGAAACUUUGUUGGUUUGAUUUUGAGGUGUUAGAUCUCAAAAACUAAUUUCUUUUGUAAAACUUCUGGGAGUUUUAGUUGUGAUUUUAAAGUGAGAAGUUGUUCUUUCCUACCUAAUUAGAGUUACCAUUAAUUUCAAUUAUUAGACCAUAUGUCCAGAACAUCAAGUCACCAUGACAACCAGCUAUUUACAUGGGACAACUUAAAUGUGACUUAAAUUUAUCUACAUCUCUGAAUCACAUAGAUCCUAUACAUGGGAAAUACUUCAUAUACUUUUCCAUCCCUGAUAAAUAUACUGUAUAUGAAGCAACAAUCAAAGUUUUAUAUUUUACAACCAAAAAAUGAAACAUUUUUUAAGUGCUGUUAACUUUGUGUCUAACUGAUCAUUUUGCUAAUGAUGUUUCCAAAGCUGUGCAGCAUGUUGCUUUGUUCUUUGCUUUGCUCCAAUAAAAUUUCAUAAUCAU